rnacentral:rRNA from 1 species
CACGUAGGGUGCGAGCGUUGUCCGGAAUUAUUGGGCGUAAAGAGCUCGUAGGCGGUGUGUCGCGUCGGCCGUGAAAACCUGCAGCUUAACUGUGGGCUUGCGGUCGAUACGGGCAUCACUGGAGUUCGGCAGGGGAGACUGGAAUUCCUGGUGUAGCGGUGAAAUGCGCAGAUAUCAAGAGGAACACCUGAGGUGAAGACGGGUUGCUGGGCCGACACUGACGCUGACAGCGCGAAAGCCAGGGGAGCAAACGGG